GUCUUGUAAUUGGAAUGAUGGGAAUUUAAACCUCUUCCAGAGUAUCAAUUGGAGGGCAAGUCUGGUGCCAGCAGCCGCGGUAAUUCCAGCUCCAAUAGCGUAUAUUAAAAUUGUUGCAGUUAAAAAGCUCGUAGUUGAAUUUCUGCUGUAUUGUAAUUUCUCCUAUACGAGUUUUUACAUUAUGGCUUAUUUCGGUAUUAAAUUUAUUUUAUUACCGGAUGUUUACUUUGAGAAAAUUAGAGUGCUCAAAGCAGGCUUUUGCCUUGAAUAGUUUAGCAUGGAAUAAUAAAGUAGGACUUUGGUUCUAUUUUGUUGGUUUUAGGUACCAAAGUAAUGGUUAAUAGGAACAGUUGGGGGC
rnacentral:rRNA from 1 species